rnacentral:rRNA from 1 species
UACGGAGGGUGCAAGCGUUAUCCGGAUUCACUGGGUUUAAGGGGUGCGUAGGUGGGCAGGUAAGUCAGUGGUGAAAUCUCCGAGCUUAACUUGGAAACUGCCGUUGAUACUAUUUGUCUUGAAUAUUGUGGAGGUAAGCGGAAUAUGUCAUGUAGCGGUGAAAUGCUUAGAUAUGACAUAGAACACCAAUUGCGAAGGCAGCUUACUACACAACGAUUGACGCUGAGGCACGAAAGCGUGGGGAUCAAACAGG